UACGUAGGGUGCAAGCGUUGUCCGGAAUUAUUGGGCGUAAAGAGCGUGUAGGCGGCCCGAUUAGUCCGCUGUGAAAGUCCAGGGCUCAACCCUGGAAUGCCGGUGGAUACUGUCGGGCUAGAGUCCGGAAGGGGCGAGUGGAAUUCCUGGUGUAGCGGUGAAAUGCGCAGAUAUCAGGAGGAACACCUGUGGCGAAGGCGGGUCUCUGGGCCGAUAUUGACGCUGAGGAGCGAAAGCGUGGGGAGCGAACAGG
rnacentral:rRNA from 1 species